GAGGAAAGCAGGGGAUCGCAAGACCUUGCGCUUUUGGAGCGGCCGAUGUCUGAUUAGCUAGUUGGUGAGGUAAAGGCUUACCAAGGCUUCGAUCAGUAGCUGGUCUGAGAGGACGACCAGCCACACUGGGACUGAGACACGGCCCAGACUCCUACGGGAGGCAGCAGUGGGGAAUUUUGGACAAUGGGGGCAACCCUGAUCCAGCCAUGCCGCGUGAGCGAAGAAGGCCUUCGGGUUGUAAAGCUCUUUCAGCCGGAACGAAAAGGUUACGGUUAAUACCCGUGACUAAUGACGGUACCGGAAGAAGAAGCACCGGCUAACUACGUGCCAGCAGCCGCGGUAAUACG
rnacentral:rRNA from 1 species